GUAGGUGAACCUGCGGAAGGAUCAUUAUCACGUAUCCACGUUAUCAACCAUGUCGAACCGUACCUACCUUCGGGGGGAGUGGGAGAGUUUUGUAAUGCAAGCGUGUAGGCUCUUUGUUUUCUAUCUGCUUCAACUUCGCUUGAAACUAACUAGAAAACGGGGUGGUUUUAAGCCUGUUUGCAUUGCCUCGGUCCUUUUUUGGACCGUACCCAUUCCUUUCGUCUGUAACUGAAAUCACCUUUGAUUAACC
rnacentral:misc_RNA from 1 species